CUUGUUCCUGUAUACAUCAGCAAAAAACAAAGACCGAUGAGUACAUAUACUACCGCAAUAUACCGCAUACAUACAAUUCUAAAGAUGCGUACCCGUACACCCCUCAUGUCGUCUUCUUCCUCAGCUUCACCCUACAAUUAGUACACUACCCUUUUCCCAUCUCUGUGUUUUCGUCCUUGGCUCGUUUGAUUUGAGUCAGUAGUGGUUUCGAGAAGCUUCGUAUCAAAUCUUAGUUGUCCACCUAGCUUCAAAUUCGUUCGUUUUGUUGAGAAUUUGACAUCUUUUGAAAGCAAUUUAGGGAUAUUUCUAAUGUUGUUCAAGAUUUGAAUUUCGAAUUCGUUUCUUAUCCAGAAAUUCUAUCUCAAGUCCCCUAUUCCCCCCUCUCCCAGUCCAAUUUUCGACACCAAAUUCCUUCUAUAAAAAUCUCCUUUCUAGCCAUUGUGGAGGGUGGAUUUUUUGGGGAUUAUGAAAUAGAGAGGAAAGAAAGGUAGAAAACAAAUAGAAAAGAGAAGUUAAAUUGUCUUCUUAUAGCUUGAAUCGAAAAGGAGUUGAAGAAAAAGUUCAACCUUCUUGCUCAUCCUUCGUCCUCUUUUUCGAAGUACUGCGGAAUGUUUUAGUGAUUGUGGAAGUCUCAAGUUCAUUCGGUCUCAGUAUCGCUGGCCGAAAAAAAGAGCUAAAAUAUAGGGAAGCUGAUUACAGGUUGCUGUAUACUCUUGGUAUGCUAGCCGAUAUACAAAAGAUACAGAAAAAAGUAGGAGAUAUACACUUAUAUAUAUUAUAUACCUUGCUGAUAUACAUCAAAAUUGGGCCCAAAAAGGUCCAAAAGCAGGUGCAACAGUAGUCUAAGGGCCCAAAUGCAACAACAAUAUUUUUUUUUGUUAGAAAUUAGGACAUGGAUUGAAGAUUGGGCCUAUUAAGCCCAAUAGUUUGAAUUUGGACAAGAAGCCUAAAUUUAUCAUUUGUUUUAUUUAAUUGUUUAUUUGUAAUUGAUUGUUUGUUAACUCUUAAUUUUGAAUUUUUUGAUUUAUCUAAUUAAAUCCCCAAACAAAGAACUAAUUUCUUUUAUAAGAUUACUUUUUAGAUUU